rnacentral:rRNA from 1 species
UACGUAGGUGGCAAGCGUUGUCCGGAUUUACUGGGUGUAAAGGGCGUGUAACCGGGCUGACAAGUCAGAUGUGAAAUUCCGGGGCUCAACCCCGGACCUGCAUUUGAAACUGUUGGUCUUGAGUAUCGGAGAGGCAGGCGGAAUUCCUAGUGUAGCGGUGAAAUGCGUAGAUAUUAGGAGGAACACCAGUGGCGAAGGCGGCCUGCUGGACGACAACUGACGGUGAGGCGCGAAAGCGUGGGGAGCAAACAGG